AACCGAGUGACUGAUUCCAAAUUCUUUUCUUUUUUCACUAAAUUCCAAGAAUAAUUGAUGAUAGAACUCUGUCUCGUAGCUCUGAUUUCAAAGAAAUAACAGGAAAGAAUAUAUGCAUACAUACAUGUACGCACAUGUGUAUAUUCUAUAGAUGCUUUGAAUAAGAUUUUUCAGCACUUAAAUUUAUUUGGAAAAUAUUUUUGCAUCAAUUUUAGGAGCAGGAGCCUUUUUCAAAAAUCCAGUUGAUUAACAUCUAAUUCUAAAGUCUUUACACUCCACCUUCAUAACAUUAACAUGAAUUUGUUACUUAAAAUGACUAGCAAUUUAACGUUGACCCUAAUCCCUCCACCCAGGUUCCAUUUGAAUUUCAAAAAAAACAUUUACUAUUUCUUGACAAAUUGAGUUUCACAGAUGAAUUGUGUAAAGUAAGUUAGGUUAUUAGUUCUAAUAUGUGUUUCAUAGCUCUCAUUAUGAUUGAAUGAAGACAGUGACCGUUUCGUCUUAACUUGAAACUUUCCAUUAUUCUGAAAACCUUCAGUCAUAUUCUUAGUUCUUGUCGAAACUCAAUGGGUCAGUGUAUUUAUUCUGACCCAAAGAAGGGAAAAUGGAACUAGGAACAAAAUUUCAUGAAGUUUCAGGAUGCCCAAUAUCACUCACACUGAGUAGUGCUUUACCAUUGAUGAAAUUGUUUUGGAAGGGAUGAGGAGAGCAGGAAGUUCCUGAGUCUAAAGGAGUGGAAGAGUGUGACCAGAGUGCUGGUAUGAGAUGGCAAGAGAGCUCAACGCUGAAAGAGAAUUAGAGGACACAGCAAGAAACUGCCCAUUUAUGCCACGUGAAAGGCACUGUGGAAGAAGAAGGACCCAGGAAGAGAAGAGUGCAAAGAAAACUUCAUCUGAAAUAAGCAAGGGCAGCCUGUCACAUGCCUUUAACCAUUGUUCCGAGAAGCUUGGCACCCCCAUGAGCUACCCAACUGACUGAGUCAGUCUGUCCUCUGUGAGUAACAACCCUGGGAACUGCAGAGGCAAAUAGAGAAAAAAGCCCAAGAACUUGGAAUGGUUGCCUUCUGGAGUGGUAAAUCAAGAGUGGGAAGAGGUGGACCAGGAGACUAUUGUUUUUUAUUAUAAGCCUUUGUUUUCCUGUUGGGCUUUCUAACCAUGACUAUCACAAUUUCUAACCAUGUACAUGGGUGAGUUUGAUAAACAUUAAAAUUGAAACAACAAGAAAGAAAACAGACAAUAAGAACUAUCUUCUGGAGAGUGUAAAUGCGCUACACAAUGUUACCUCUAGCUUGUUAGUCUGUGGGAGACGUUACUUGUUGAUAACAGCUCUAUUUCCCUCCAGGGCCUGGAAACAGACUCACAAACCUUCCCGAUAUCUGUUUCUAGGUAUAAUGAAGCUGGGUCUUUGGAUGAAAACUAUUUGCCACUCUUGGCCUAAGAGGAAAUACUCAAUCUCAGGACCUGCAUUCCUGAACCUAAGUGAAAACAAGACCAGAAUAUGUUUUAUGGUAUACUAAAUUAGAACGUAUAUCUUGGUAUACCUAAUUCUGACAAAUAACCUUAAUUAAGAGAUGUAUGUCACCACUAUGGAACUCUAUUAUUCCAGUGAAAUUGCUACAGUUGAAAAAAACCCAUUUAGGUUUCUGACCAUGAACAUGAAGAUAAACUUGGAAACUUUACAGCACUAUGAUUAAUAGAAUUUUCUUACUUCAGAGUUUUCAGGGUGGUGCAAAUCUCCUCACUAGCAAUACUGGCAUAACACUAUAGAAGAAAAAAAUGUUUCUUCAAGUCAACAUGUAGUUAAUUCACAUUUGGAGAUAAGAAUACCGUGACAACAUGACAAUUUAAUGAAUUUUGAGCAGCUUUAGGAAGGGGAUUAUUAAAAGAAAAAGAAAAGAAGUGUUUUGUGGUAGAAAAACAGCACACCAGAAUUAUCUGGACAAUUUUUAACAGUCAUUUGCAAGGACUUAUUUUUCCCUUCUUUUACCAUAAUUUCCUUCCUUCCUUCCUCCCUCCCUCCCUUCCUUCCUUCCUCUCUUUCUUUCUUUUAAUUUCAUUUUUACUACUACAGUGGUUGUAUUAUUUGCCUAUGAUGAAAUGAGAUUCUGUACAAGAUUCAAGAAGCAUACUUAAAUCCAUCAUUAAAAAUCUCCUGGCAUUUUUCA